GACGAACGCUGGCGGCGUGCUUAACACAUGCAAGUCGAACGGAAAGGCCCUGCUUUUGUGGGGUGCUCGAGUGGCGAACGGGUGAGUAACACGUGAGUAACCUGCCCUUGACUUUGGGAUAACUUCAGGAAACUGGGGCUAAUACCGGAUAGGAGCUCCUGCUGCAUGGUGGGGGUUGGAAAGUUUCGGCGGUUGGGGAUGGACUCGCGGGUUAUCAGCUUGUUGGUGGGGUAGUGGCUUACCAAGGCUUUGACGGAUAGUCGGCCUGAGAGGGUGACCGGCCACAAUGGGACUGAGAUACGGACCAGACUCCUACGGGAGGCAGCAGUGGGGAGUAUUGCACAAUGGGCGGAAGCCUGAUGCAGCAACGCCGCGUGCGGGAUGACGGCCUUCGGGUUGUAAACCGCUUUCGCCUGUGACGAAGCGUGAGUGACGGUAAUGGGUAAAGAAGCACCGGCUAACUACGUG
rnacentral:rRNA from 1 species